rnacentral:misc_RNA from 1 species
GAUGAAGAACGUAGCAAAAUGCGAUAAGUAAUGUGAAUUGCAGAAUUCAGUGAAUCAUCGAAUCUUUGAACGCACAUUGCGCCCGCUGGUAUUCCGGCGGGCAUGCCUGUUCGAGCGUCAUUUCAACCCUCAAGCCCCCGGGUUUGGUGUUGGGGAUCGGCUCUGCCCUUCUGGGCGGUGCCGCCCCCUAAAUACAUUGGCGGUCUCGCUGCAGCCUCCAUUGCGUAGUAGCUAACACCUCGCAACUGGAACGCGGCGCGGCCAUGCCGUAAAACCCCAACUUCUGAAUGUUGACCUCGGAUCAGGUAGGAAUACCCGCUGAACUUAAGCAUAUCAAUAAGCGGAGGA